ACAACUGUACAAGGGCAUCACAUUUCCGCACGGGACGGCCCAGACGGUGAAACUGGGCCGACCCUUUCGUUUCCUCUCUCUCACCCAGUUCUCCCUGCCCUCCUCUCCCCCGAUCCAACGCCGCCGCCACGCCCUCCCGUCCCCGGCUCCGACGACACGUAAGGAAUCACCCCUGCCACCUCUUCCCACCGCCCCGGUGCCGAACGUCCAUCGAGGCGCCCGUCGCCGCGGCUCCUGCCUCCGUUGCAGAGGCCCGAAGGACCAGCGGCUGCGCCGUCCAAGGAAACAUCACGCAGCUGCGACUCGCCGUGGCUGGCUGCGCGUUGCGGUGUCCAGUGUCCCGAGCCUCACGACGGACAGUGACGGCGGCAGCCCGCGGCCUCGACGGCGCCCUUACCUGUGGCGAGGCACGACGGCGGCAGCACGGCCGUGGUGGCUGUCAUCGCAGUGUGAUCACCGCCAUGGUUAGGUUAUUUACAGCAGCUGACAGUGAUGAUAUCUGCUCAGCAAUACGGUUUGUAAACAGCCAAAGACCAUGACGACAAUAAUGGUGUUGGAUGGGGAUAUGGUGCCAAUAUGCUGACAGAGUACCUUGUCGAAGUUGGAGAGUCUACUCCUCUUACUGCUGCCGCUUGUAUCAACAAUCCUUUUUGGUGUAUCGACAAGCUUUGGAUGGAAUACGGAGCGAGGAAGGCGUACGGCGACCUAAACCUGUUAUGCCAAUGUGAAAGAACAAGGGCUUCUUCAGUUCUUCUAACUUGGGAAUUUGCUUCAGUUAUUCUAACUUGAUGUUUUGCUGUAAUGGAUAAAAUACUUGUGGUACUAGAAUCAAUGUAAGGCAUGCUUCAAUGUAAAUGUACAGAAAAAUCUUGAAUGAAUGUGAAUUAAUCUACAUGAAAUAUUUAUUUC